rnacentral:rRNA from 1 species
CCGGGGCUUCUUCCCCCGCUACCGUCAUCAUCUUCACGGGUGAAAGAGCUUUACAACCCUAAGGCCUUCUUCACUCACGCGGCAUUGCUGGAUCAGGGUUGCCCCCAUUGUCCAAUAUUCCCCA